rnacentral:rRNA from 1 species
GACGAACGCUGGCGGCGUGCUUAACACAUGCAAGUCGAACGGAAAGGCCCUGCUUUUGUGGGGCGCUCGAGUGGCGAACGGGUGAGUAACACGUGAGUAACCUGCCCUUGACUUUGGGAUAACUUCAGGAAACUGGGGCUAAUACCGGAUAGGAGCUCCUGCUGCAUGGUGGGGGUUGGAAAGUUUCGGCGGUUGGGGAUGGACUCGCGGCUUAUCAGCUUGUUGGUGGGGUAGUGGCUUACCAAGGCUUUGACGGGUAGCCGGCCUGAGAGGGUGACCGGCCACAUUGGGACUGCGAUACGGCCCAGACUCCUACGGGAGGCAGCAGUGGGGAAUAUUGCACAAUGAGCGGAAGCCUGAUGCAGCAACGCCGCGUGCGGGAUGACGGCCUUCGGGUUGUAAACCGCUUUCGCCUGUGACGAAGCGUGAGUGACGGUAAUGGGUAAAGAAGCACCGGCUAACUACGUG